rnacentral:rRNA from 1 species
CCUACGGGUGGCAGCCGUGAGGAAUAUUGGUCAAUGGACGAGAGUCUGAACCAGCCAAGUAGCGUGAAGGAUGACUGCCCUAUGGGUUGUAAACUUCUUUUAUAUGGGAAUAAAACGUUCCACGUGUGGGAUUUUGUAUGUACCAUAUGAAUAAGGAUCGGCUAACUCCGUACCAGCAGCCGCGGUAAUACGGAGGAUCCGAGCGUUAUCCGGAUUUAUUGGGUUUAAAGGGAGCGUAGGUGGAUUGUUAAGUCAGUUGUGAAAGUUUGCGGCUCAACCGUAAAAUUGCAGUUGAAACUGGCAGUCUUGAGUACAGUAGAGGUGGGCGCAAUUCGUGGUGUAGCGGUGAAAUGCUUAGAUAUCACGAAGAACUCCGAUUGCGAAGGCAGUUCACUGGACUGCAACUGACACUGAGGCUCGAAAGUGUGGGUAUCAAACAGGAUUAGAUACCCGAGUAGUC